AUGUUAGCAUUCAAAAUGCACAUGCAAAGGGUUAAUGGCAAGAGCUGUAGAAUUCUGCUGGUGUUGCACAGUCAGUGGCAGUUAUGGUGGCAGUUGGUACAGUUAUGGCAGUUUGGGAACAGACUUAAUGGUCAGAGUAGCAGGAAGACUCUGCUCCUGAAAUGGAUGGUUAUUGGUCGUGGCAGGUUGCAACACCCCUGCCGGCACCCACAGACAAAUCCCGGAGUGCAGACCACAAAACCAGAGGAGCUCCAUCGGCUGCUGGUGUUGGGAAAUUGCUCAAGCAACGCUUUGUCUUUAUCCUCUGCCAUAUGCAUCUUGUCCUUUCCACAACUGGUAUAUGGACCCAUAAGCAGAAAGCAAAACUGGGACCUUACAACCACUUCACCCACAAUGCUCUUCAGCUUGCAUAGCAAAGAGGACUUAUGGGCUUCUCUGAAUGAUUUGCCUACUGACCAUCCAUCCUGAUUUUGCCAGGACUGAUUGGUCUUUGUUGAGCAUUUGUUCUGAUUGGUUUGCAGAAAGAUAUGACAAUGAACAUCCAUCCUGAUUUGCUUGUGUGGCAUUUAUACCACUUCCUGUUAACCAUUUGUCUACCCCCACACUUUUCAGGUCAUCUCCACAUCACUUUCCUAAACACACAAUGCCUGUUUUUGUUUUAAAAUGGAUUUGUUGCACUAAUGCAAUGGAGUGUUUUAAUCCACUUCGACUGCGCAAGCCCAAAUUUCCAGUAUGUACUUGAAUUCCUCCUGCAAAAUAGGUAUAGUCUGGAGGUAAGUAACACGUGUUUGUAAACAGUCAUGUUUAUGCGUCACUUGCGUGUAGGGCAUAAACAUGAUUGCUUGGGAGCGCAGCUGGACCUCAGUGCUGGACCUCAGUGUCUGGGCAGAAUGAUGGAGGUGGAGAUGCUCCUUCAGGUAUACUAGGCUGAGGCCUUUUAGGGCUCAUCAUUUGCCAGGUGCUUUCAGAUGCUCAGUAUCCCUGUGUGGUUACAACAACCCUGUAAAGUAGGCCAGAGCUAUACGUUCCCCAUAUUGCAGCUGUAGGGACUUCUGAGGCUGAGAUGGGUCUUGGCUAAAGACACCGAAUGACGCCAGGGCAGAGACUGGAACGGGGGACCCCCCAGCUAUGUAGCUCAGACCCUCCAAGGGUCCCUAUUUUCCAGGGACAUCCCUGAUUUAGAGAAGCUGUCCCAGUUUCUGAUUUGAUCCCAGAAUGUCCCACUUUUCCUUAAAAAGGUAAAGGGACCCCUGACCAUUAGGUCCAGUCGUGACCGACUCUGGGGUUGCGGCGCUCAUCUCGCUUUAUUGGCCAAGGGAGCUGGCGUACAGCUUCCGGGUCAUGUGGCUAGCAUGACUAAGCUGCUUCUGGCGAACCAGAACAGCGCACGGAAACGUCGUUUACCUUCCUGCCGGAGCGGUACCUAUUUAUCUACUUGCACUUCAUGCUUUCGAACUGCUAGGUUGGCAGGAGCAGGGACCGAGCAACAGGAGCUCACCCCGUUGCGGGAUUCGAACCGCCAACCUUCUGAUUGGCAAGUCCUAGGCUCUGUGGUUUAACCCACAGCGCCACCCGUGUCCCACUUUUCCUUAGGAUGUCCCUAUUUUCAUGGAGUUAUCCAACCUCCGAGCUGUCUGAAGGCAAUUCUGUAUAGGGAAUUUUUUUAAUGUUUUAUUUUUUAUUAUGUUUUUAAUAUAUGUUGGAAGCUGCCCAGAGUGGCUGGGGCAACCCAGUAAGAUGUGUGAAGUAUAAAGAGUAAAAUUAUCAUUAUGGAAUGGGACGUCCCUAUUUUCAUUGGAGAAAUGUUGGAGGGUAUGCUAGCUCACAGCACAAUCCUAGCCAGGCCUACUCAGAAGUUAAUCCUUUUGAAUACAAUAAGGCUUGCUGCUAGGUAAAUGGGGUCAGGACUGCAGCCUUUAGCUGUUCACUCCACAACUUGUUUUUAUUUAGUUUUGCAUUUAUAUCCCACUAUUCCUCCAAGGUGUACAAAGCUCUCCCCUUUUUAGUCCCACAACAACCCUGUGAGGUUGUUUAGGCCUUGUGGAAAAGUAAGUCUUCAGCUAAAUAACCUAAGGUUAUUUAUAGGUUAUUUAAGGUUAUUCAUAGGAAGCUGCCUUGGACAGAGUCAGUGUGUUGACCUAUCUACCUCCGCAGCAGCAGCAGCUCUCUAGGAUUCAGAUGGGGGGGGGCAGCCCCACCUGGAGAUGCCGCCAGGACUGAACAUCAGCAUGUAAAGCAGAUGGUCUAAUCCUGUGCUAUGGACAACCCUAGACUUGGGAGUCUUCUUCUGCACUUAAAGGUUGUGGGGAUGGUCUCUCUUUAGAAAUGUUGGAAGAAGAAUGAUCUGAAAUACAGAUGUGAACCUGAAGAGAGAAGAUGCAGCAAAGCUGCGGACAGAGCAGCAGGUGCACCAAAGUUCUGAAGAAGCAUCACCACUCAGGAGGGGCAAGGUGGGUGGGUUGCCGUGGUAACAAUGCCUUGCCCUCCCUUGUGACAUCUCUCCCUUAAAAGUCACCAACUGCAGGUGUCCCUUGUGGGUUAGUGAGGAGAGGUCAGGAGAGAGCAGUGUGGUUGGAGUUGGUGGGAAGAGGUUCAGGAGAGGCUUUUGAUUCAUUAGUAUUUUCUAAUUUGAUCAUUUUCCAUUUUGAUUUGCUGCCCCACUAGCUAACGUGGUACCUCAGGUUAAGAACAGUUUCAGGUUAAGAACGGACCUCCAGAACCAAUUGAGUUCGUAACCAGAGGUACCACUGUAUAUUGGAGGGGGGACUUUUUCUGGACAGCAUACUGUUCAUACUGUGAGUAGAAUUCCUACUCUUGGUCUCCUGGGGGGGGGGGUCCUGGGGUCCCCUGCGCAGCCUUGGCUCUCUUGAAAUCGUCUCAGCCAGUCACUCCCCUUCAAAAGAGCUCAGCUUCUCCACAUUCUUUCUCUGCCUUCCCAUUUUCUUUCCACCUCAUCAUUUACAUUUAUUGUUACAUUCAUAGCCCCCUUUCCUCCCAGGAGCUCACAACAACCCUGCGAAGUAGUCUAGGCUGAGAAAAGAGACUGGCCCAAGGUCACCCAGGGAGCUUCAUGGCUGAGUGGGGAUUUGAACCCUGCCUGGUCUCCCAGGUCCUCCUAGUGCAGCCCUCUAACCACCACACCUCCCCCUGCCUCCAUUUCCCAUCUUUCCAACCGUCAAAUGCAAUAGGCAUUCUCCCCCUUCCUGGGGGUCUCUCUAGCUCUAAGCAAGACUCCACUACCUUCCCCUCUCAGUUGCCCAACAUUUUCUGCUCCUCUUCUGGGACACCUUGAUGCUUGGAGGACCCUCCAGGCAGGACAGGACAGGCUGUCCUAAGAAGACGAGGCAGAGCAGCCCUUGAAAUGCAGGCAAUGCUUCUCUUUUCUUUG
ensembl:lncRNA